GCUUGCUGUCAAUAAAUAUGUGGGUAAAUCUCUGUUUGGGGCUCUCAGCUCUGAAGGCUGUGAGACCCGAUUUCCCACUCCACACUCUGUAUUUCUGUGUGAGUGUCUUUAAUUCCUCUGGCGCCGCUGGGUUAGGGUCUCCACGACUGAGCUGAUCUCAGUAUCUACCACAUUCUGCUUUAUUCUCUUCUCUAGGGUAAGAAAAAUCACAAUACAUGGGUAUUCAAUAAAAUUCAAUUAAUUUAAGCCUGACUCUUGAGAAUGUGCAAUUGAAGGUUAUGAAUGUGUCACACCUAAGGUGGUGGUAGAAGUCUCUGGCACAUGGAAAAUGCCUGUUUUAACUUUUAGCUAUUUUUUUCAGGUUUUUGUCAUUAGAAUAUUUCUUCUGUUUCUACUGCAAAUAACUAUCAAAAAGGAAAAGAACAACUAGGAUGGCCUCCCCUGUUUAUCAUUGGCCCUACAAUUUUCUAGGAGUAAUAUCUUUUUGGAAUUAUGUAAUGUCCUCUGCUAAUGACAGUGUAUAGAUGCUAUUACAUUUCCUUGGGGGACAAAGUACUGUUGUCUGGAAGCUUUGAGAUUAAUGUAACACAAAGUAAAUAAGGAAGCGUUUUGCAUAUUCUUAGAUUUUUACAUUUUUAUUUUAAAACAGAGAAUUUCAUAUUGAUUAACACCUACUACUAAACAGAAUGAUGCAUUAAUUAAAUGCCUUGUCCUAACUGUUAUAAGCUCUGUUAGAAAAAUAAACAUCUCACCACAAACUACAGUGUCAGCUCUUUAAUAAAUACAUAAAACAGAAGUUAGUAGUCAAUCAGAGUUAUAUGAACAGGUUCAUAGUAUAUUAUGUGAAAGUAUCAUAUUCUCCAAUAUUCUGUAUCAUUUAAGACAAUUUAAGUUACGUAUAAUUCAAAGCCAGAAAUAAUAAGAAAUAUGUUCAGUGAUAAUUUGCUUCUUUCUUAGAGCUAUUUUAUAUUCAAAUAUUUAAUUUAAAAAUAUAUUCUAUAUUAAAUUUAUUUUUACAAACGCAGUAUUCGUUAGGUGAAACAAAAUAAGUUUUUAUGUUACUGAUAAGUUUAAUACAUUUCUAAUUUUUUUCAGAAGUUCAAGAAACCAUAAUGAAGUAGCUAAUGUAAAAUAGUUUAAAAGCUAUGUUAAAUAUACACAAAAUGAAUUUCUAUAUUAAUAUGUGCAAAUGUAUAUUUUCUUAUAAUUUAGAAUUAAAGUACUUUAUACUCAAUAUUCUUAAUAAAAUUUAUGUACCAUACUUGUCAUUGCGUAGACUUCUUAUCAAAAUUUCACAUUUAUCUGUAGGAAAAUGUAAAGUUGGUAAAAAUUGUUUACACAAAUCACACAUUUUCCAUCCUUGACAAUUGCAGUGUUUUUUUUUUAAAUAUUGCUGUAUUAGACAAUUUUAACUGAAGUAGGUUGUAGAGGCUAGAAGAAACCUGAUUAAUAGAGUUAGCUUACAAAGAUAAAUUUUAUGCAGAAAAGUAUUCCAGGUAGAUAAAAGAGUAGUGUUAUUACUCUCAGGUUUACAUUAACAGCUGCCCAGAUAGCUGAACAAUUAUUUCAUAUAAUUCAAAUAAUUUAAAUAUGCAGUUUUAUAACAGUCGUUACAUAAGCUUGAAGUUAAAGUGAUCAGAGCCAAGGGGGAAAAACCCACAAAUGAUAAAGAAGAAUAAAAAGUAAGAGGACUCUAGAAGAAAGUUGUUUUUCACAGCACUGAUUGUUUUUAUCAUAUUUUUCUCCUGCCAUUGAUACAAGACAUGUAAGAUGCUGCAAAACCUAACUAUGACAGUUCCAUGUAAUAUUUUUCCAGUUAAUUUUGUUUAAAAGUGAGAUGAUAAUAUAAAAGGAUCUCAUAUAAUAGAAUAAAAAUAAUAAAAAUUUGUUAAUGAAACGUAGACAUACCUACCCAUUCUUGUUAGUUAAGUUAGGGUAAAGUUGGAUUAGUGUAAUAUUUAUUCAAGCAUAAUUUUAAACACUGCAUCUGAAGUGCCAACAGUUGCAAGAAAUGUCACAAUUUCAGAGAUGUUAAAUUGAAAAAGUGAUGUCUUGGAAUCAAUGAAAUAUAAAUAUGGAUAUGUAUAAUCAGUUAUACAUAAAAAUUUGCUAUAGAGGAAUUAUAAAAGAAAAGGAAAAUUAUUUGAAAGAAUGUUAGCUAUAUCUCAGUGGUCUGCAUUGCAUAAAAUGGAGUUCUUGAGGUCAAUAUAAAUAAGGAUAGUUGUAAAUUAAAUAUUGAGUCAACAUAACAGAAUGCAAUCUGCACAUGAUUGAGCUCCCAUGUAACUAUAUUUCACUUGAUACUUUUAUGAAAACAUAUAUAUUCCAAAUCCUUCAAAAUGAAAAGAAGCUCAAACAGUUGUGAAAAUUUAGAAUUCUUAGAUUUUAAUGGGUCUGUCUUUGUUCAGGGGCAAAGACUCAAAUGAGCUUUAAGAUCAAUUAAAGAUGUCUGGAAAUGAAGAACUUCAUUAUACCAUUAAAUUCAGUUAUUUUUCACUAUUAGGCUUAUUAAGCUUGAAGCUUUAGGAAAUCUCUUGGGAAGAGUGAGUGGAAAAAACAGGAGUAAGAAAAGGAAGAAAAAGCCUUUGAGUCUAAUCUACUCUACCAGGUUCCAGGAAGAAUAUAAUUCUACAGAGAAAAUUCUUCAUAAUCUAUCAUAAUAUAUUUCAGUGUCUGAUGGCUGACUCUUGUCUUGCAUAAAGAUAUCUUCAGUGGAUAUUAAGUAAAUAUUAAAAAUAUAUUUCAGAUUCAUUCUUUGAAGGAUUGCAUCUCAUGCAUCCACAAAUUUUAAUGUUGAGUUUUGGAAAAUUGCCUCCAGAGAUAUCUACUGUGUUUAAUCUUAGAUUUUUUUUUUAUUUUAAUAAACCAAAGAUAAACUGAACAUUUAAGACAUAAUCAGAUUUUUAGUGAAUUUUUAAGUCCUCCAGAAAAGUCUAUGACUUAAUAAAUAUUAGCAAGUUUCCAAAAAUAUAACAAAUGUUUAUAAAUACGUGUGCACUGCAGUGCAAUGGUGUCCCCAGAGAAAUAAAAUGCAUAACAAAGCAAAUGUUAUGUUGUAGUGUAUGUAUGGCACAUUUAUAAAUCAUUACAUACUUUAGGGCACAAAAAUGCUGCAGUACUAAAAGUGUUGUUCAAGUUCUCAAUUCUGUUAACAAUUUAAAAUUUCAUUAAUUGUGUUUAAUAUCAAUGAAUCUCAAAAGGCUCCUGUGGCCAUAUUAGUUGAAAAUAGACUCUAUUUGCAUACAUUAUUUAACCUAAGAGUACCCUGUGUUCCCUUACCAUUUAAUUAAUUCUAACUAGUCAAAUAUUAAUUCUCAUCUCACAAAUCAUUACACAGGAAGAUAUCAAUUAUUCAAGUAAAAUACAAGCCCUACAAUCUUUAAAAAUUAGCUUUUUAAGUAAAAACAAAAAAGAUAAGCACAAGACUUUGCAAGCAUAACCACAAUCAUCGUCUAACACUGAGUUGCCUACAAGGAAGUUUGUCCCUUCCUAUGGUAACAGCCUUGGUCCACUAUAAAGUUAGUGCAAACAAGUGAGGGUAUAAAAAAAAUAUAAACUCUGGAUUUUUAAGGAUUUCAUUUUGUUAUACUCUUUUUGGAUAAUUCAUUCCAUACGGAAAUUUGUUUAUUGUUCAUAAAUAUCAUAAUGUUCAUUUCAAAAAUUGUCAUCAUCUUAAUGGCUAUCUUACACUUUUUUCUUUUGGAGGGUUGUCAGGCAUCCAUCCAUUUUCCUUUUUAAGAAGAACGUUAUGUGUAUUAGGCUACUAAACCCAAUUUUUACAUUAUUUUUAGUGAUCAAAGGUUUCUUAUACAAGUGACUCACAGUACUGAAUUAUGUCAAUCUCUCAUUUGAGGAAGGAAAUGCAGUUCAAGUUAGCAUUGAAAGUGCUUGGCUGUAGAGGACAUCUAACAGAGCUGCUGUGUUUAUUGGCUCCAGAACAACUUAUUAUAGGUUUUUCAGUUCUCUUUAGGGUAGAAUAUGAGAUGGGGUUAGUCUUCAUCAAAAUGCAGUAUCUAGUACUUUAACUCAAGUGCUGGAAGACAGCAAAUCUUGGAAGUUUAUUAUAAAAAAAAAGAUAUUUCGGAUAGAUUCCUUUGUUGUCAUGGGCAAAACUGUAUAUCCACACAGGACUGUUAGACUCCUAGCCAAUAAAAUCAGACUAAGUCCAUAGGGAUAAGGUAAGUGUAAAUAAAUUUCCAUUGGGGAAGACAGGGCUCAUGGCCCGUGUAUCAAGGUCUCAAGCUGAGCACUGGAGAACUCCAGGGAACACUGUUCAUACAGGCUAUGGUGCGAAGGAAUUCCCCUGUAGGUAUGCCAUACUUCAGUCUCUUAAGAAGCUGAUUAGCAUGAAAGACUGGAAGCUGAUUAUGGACAAUUCAGUUUGAAUUAUUCCUUUCUAUUUUGCUUUGAACUUUCCUCAUACACUUAAGACAUGAGUAAAUCACAUUGAAAAACAUUUGCCAAUUGAAUAUUUUAAAGAUUCAAGAGGUAGCAUGAUAUUGUGCAAUGAACACUGGCCUGACAAUGAGAAGAUAAAAACUCCUUUCCAAUGUGGCCACUUUAUCACUUGAGUGUUUUCUGAGAAAUCGUUUAAGUUUUCUGAGGCUCAGUUCCCUAACUCACUAAAAAGGAGAAUUAGCAGCCUGGCAUGGUGGCUCAUGCCUGUAAUCCCAACACUCUGGGAGGCCGAGGAGGGUAGAUCACCUGAGGUCAGGAGUUUGAGAUCAACCUGUCCAACAUGGCAAAACCCCGUCUCUACUAAAAAUACAAAAAUUAGCUGGGCACGGUGGUGGAUGCCUGUAAUCCCAGCUACUCAGGAGGCUGAGGCAGGAGAACUGCUUGAACCCGGGAGGCAGAGGUUGCAGUGAACCCUAAUUGCGCCAUUGCACUUCAGCCUGGGUGACAAGAGUGAAACUCCGUCUCAAAAAAAAAAAAAAAAAAAAAAAAAGCUUAUUUCUAAGAUAUCAUCUAUUCUCCAAUUUUGUACUUUUAUGAAUUCUGGCAAGAAGGGUUGGAGUGAUUCUGGGAAAGAACAUCCUUAGGCUGCCUUGAAGGGAGAAGAUAAUAUAGCUUUUCAUUUAAAAAAUGCUGAUAUCUACUUGCAAUCAAAAUCUAAGAAAACAUUCAAAAUGUGGUACUUUGCUUGAGGCAGAAUUUCUAACUAUCUUGUGAAUUAAUGAUAAGAUAAAUGAAAUGGCCAAACAAUCCCUUCAGUUUACCAGGUAAGAGGAUACAAAACUCCACACUUGUGCACAAUGAAGCUAUUCAGGUUUUGAUGAUACUUUACAGUGUCCCCUAUUAACAUUCAGCUUUUAAAACUAGUAUUCUGAUAAAGUGACAUUGUAUUAUUAGUUUUUUAUGGCAGUAGUAACUUAGCACUUAAUUAAUCCAGUCAUCUGUGACAUACAUAAACUUAUCCUGUAAAAAAGA
rnacentral:lncRNA from 1 species